UAGGUGGAGCAGGAAUUCUCUCCAUUUGGUGGUACGUGUCUGCAUCCCGAUGCUGAGAAGAGAUCCCCACACAGAGCCGGCACCACUGCAAGUGUCUGCGAACAGGAGCAGGCGUGGGAACAGGCAUGGGAACUGAUGGGCUAGGGCCCAGGUGGACGUUUCAUGACAAGGCAUCCCUUCGGCAGUCCAUGAGCAUGGCAAAAGAUGUCAAACAGGAUGUGAGAAUGGACACGACAAAUAAUCCUCUGAGCCCUGACCCCUGGUUCUCCAACACCCAUCCCCAGAGGUAAACCACUGUGAUUGGAAAUAAUCUAAGAACCAUCUGCUUCAUCCUUGGGCUUGUGUCUUGAAAGCCCAGGGCACGACCAGGACGAGGGAAGAUGCCACCAAAGGGGAUUCUGAAGCAGGUCCUCCCAGAGCAUUGCCAACAGUCACACGACUUGCAUCCAGGCAACGGGCUCUUGCUCCCAUUCACGCGGAGCACCAGCUUUCUUUCCCGGGAAGCUGCACACCACCGCCUGCCUGCCCGGCACACGCCUCCCUCCCACCAGGAUACAGGUCUUUUCUCCCCUCUGUAAACCGCCCUAUCCCACUGGGGCCUCUGGAUCGUCCUUGACCAAUGGGCACCAGGACAUUACCAUUCCCCACAAGGCUGCUGCAGCAGCAACAUAAGAAUUGCCAGAGCCGUGACACCCAAGGAGCCACACGUGGGCUCAAACGGUAAGGGCUGGAGCCUUGUCUAUUGUGGCCAAAGGCUCGUAAUCUUCCCCGGCAAGGGUUUUCCAAGGCGGGGAGGGGUGGGGUUUCAGCCGAUAUGUGGCUUGAUAGAAAUACAAAUGACAUUCUCGAACUGCGGCAACUCUAUCAGGUUGUGGAAGAGGGGCCCAGGCUCCAUCCUGAGGCUGCUAAGUCACAGUGGCCCUUUGACCGUGGCUGGGUGCUUCCUGUGUG